AUUGAACGCUGGCGGCAGGCUUAACACAUGCAAGUCGAGCGAGUGGCGGACGGGUGAGUAAUGCAUGGGGAUCUGGCUUAUGGAGGGGGAUAACUACUGGAAACUGUAGCUAAUACCGCGUACCAUAGGAUGAGCCCAAGUGGGAUUAGGUUGUUGGUUAGGUAACGGCUCACCAAGUCGACGAUCUCUAGCUGGUCUGAGAGGAUGACCAGCCACACUGGUACUGAGACACGUCCCAGACUCCUACGUGAGGCAGCAGUGGGGAAUAUUGCACAAUGGGUGCAAGCCUGAUGCAGCCAUGCCGCGUGAAUGAAGAAGGCCUUCGGGUUGUAAAGUACUUUCUGUCGGGAGGCGUUACCUACAGAAGAAGCACCGGCUAACUCCGUGCCAGCAGCCGCGGUAAUUC
rnacentral:rRNA from 1 species